rnacentral:sRNA from 1 species
UGGAUUUUCUUCAUUUGAUGAGAACUUCUUUUAUUAAAGGAACUGAUUGCCAAUUUUUGUAACUAAGCACUUGAUUUAUUUAAGACACCGUUUGCCCUUUGUCAUAAAUAUAUCUUUGUAUCAAAGCCUAGAUUAUUAUCUUUCUGUGUUUUGAAGAUAAAAACAAAAGAAAGUUGACACCUCUUAGUUUGGUAAUUACAUAUACUUUGUGGUAGAUGAAUUGAAGGUUUGUGGACAAAAUAUUUUCAUUAUAUUGCUUGAAUUUUCUUGAACUGUGGCCAUGUUGCAAUUAUUUAAGAUCCAUGCUUAGAAAAAUUGUUAAUUGCUAAAUUGUCAUUUGCAUAACAGCCAGGUAGUUGCAAAAUGAUGGUACAUGUACCUUGACCUAUCAUAAAUUGAUAUUUGUAAAGGUUCUAGACCAGAUAUGUAGUGUUCAAAAAAUAUUUGAACUAUUUAAUGCUUAUAAUGCUUAUGAAUGCCAAUUGUUUUUUGAAAAAUAAAAACGAAAUGUUAAAAUCU